rnacentral:rRNA from 1 species
UUUAGGAGAGUUUAAUAACCUUCGGUUUGCGGAAUCGUAUCUUUUCGAUGUAUUUUUUCGUACGGUUGGUUAACAUCGAUUUUGAACAUUAUAAAAUGAUCGGAGGAAUGUGGCUUCGAUCUCGUAUCGAAGUGUUAUAACCUUUGGUAAAUGUAAUGAUCAAGUUCGAGGAUUGCAACGGAUACCCUUUCGGGCUAUUCGUCUGAUCUCUGACACGUUGCUUUGGUAUCGAAAGCUUGCUUACGGUAUUGAGGUAUAACGAUCAAAAGGUUAGAACGGAUUUAAUUCGUUAAGGGAUGUUGACGUA